GGAAUAUUGGACAAUGGGGGCAACCCUGAUCCAGCGACGCCGCGUGGGUGAAGAAGGCCUGCGGGUUGUAAAGCCCUUUCGGUGGGGAAGAAAAGCCUCGACCUAAUACGUCGGGGUCUUGACGUAACCCACAAAAGAAGCACCGGCUAACUCUGUGCCAGCAGCCGCGGUAAUACAGAGGGUGCGAGCGUUAAUCGGAAUUCCUGGGCGUAAAGCGCGCGUAGGUGGUUGGUUAAGUUGGAUGUGAAAGCCCCGGGCUCAACCUGGGAACUGCAUCCAAAACUGGCCGGCUAGAGUACGGUAGAGGGUGGUGGAAUUUCCUGUGUAGCGGUGAAAUGCGUAGAUAUAGGAAGGAACACCAGUGGCGAAGGCGACCACCUGGACUGAUACUGACACUGAGGUGCGAAAGCGUGGGGAGCAAAC
rnacentral:rRNA from 1 species